rnacentral:rRNA from 1 species
UACGUAGGGUGCGAGCGUUAAUCGGAAUUACUGGGCGUAAAGCGUGCGCAGGCGGUUUUGUAAGCCAGAUGUGAAAUCCCCGGGCUCAACCUGGGAAUGGCAUUUGGGACUGCAAGGCUUGAGUGCGGCAGAGGAGACUGGAAUUCCUGGUGUAGCAGUGAAAUGCGUAGAUAUCUGGAGGAACACCGGUGGCGAAGGCGGCAUCCUGGACCAUAACUGACACUGAUAAGCGAAAGCCAGGGGAGCAAACGGG